GUGCUAAUACAUGCAGUCGAACGAACUCUGGUAUUGAUUGGUGCUUGCAUCAUGAUUUACAUUUGAGUGAGUGGCGAACUGGUGAGUAACACGUGGGAAACCUGCCCAGAAGCGGGGGAUAACACCUGGAAACAGAUGCUAAUACCGCAUAACAACUUGGACCGCAUGGUCCGAGUUUGAAAGAUGGCUUCGGCUAUCACUUUUGGAUGGUCCCGCGGCGUAUUAGCUAGAUGGUGGGGUAACGGCUCACCAUGGCAAUGAUACGUAGCCGACCUGAGAGGGUAAUCGGCCACAUUGGGACUGAGACACGGCCCAAACUCCUACGGGAGGCAGCAGUAGGGAAUCUUCCACAAUGGACGAAAGUCUGAUGGAGCAACGCCGCGUGAGUGAAGAAGGGUUUCGGCUCGUAAAACUCUGUUGUUAAAGAAGAACAUAUCUGAGAGUAACUGUUCAGGUAUUGACGGUAUUUAACCAGAAAGCCACGGCUAACUACGUGCCAGCAGCCGCGGUAAUACGUAGGUGGCAAGCGUUGUCCGGAUUUAUUGGGCGUAAAGCGAGCGCAGGCGGUUUUUUAAGUCUGAUGUGAAAGCCUUCGGCUCAACCGAAGAAGUGCAUCGGAAACUGGGAAACUUGAGUGCAGAAGAGGACAGUGGAACUCCAUGUGUAGCGGUGAAAUGCGUAGAUAUAUGGAAGAACACCAGUGGCGAAGGCGGCUGUCUGGUCUGUAACUGACGCUGAGGCUCGAAAGUAUGGGUAGCAAACAGGAUUAGAUACCCUGGUAGUCCAUACCGUAAACGAUGAAUGCUAAGUGUUGGAGGGUUUCCGCCCUUCAGUGCUGCAGCUAACGCAUUAAGCAUUCCGCCUGGGGAGUACGGCCGCAAGGCUGAAACUCAAAGGAAUUGACGGGGCCCGCACAAGCGGUGGAGCAUGUGGUUUAA
rnacentral:rRNA from 2 species